ACCUGGUUGGCUCAGUCGGUAGAGCCCACGACUCUUGAUCUUGAGGUUGUGAGUUGGAACCCCAUGUUGGGUG
rnacentral:tRNA from 1 species